GACGAACGCUGGCGGCGUGCUUAACACAUGCAAGUCGAACGGAAAGGCCCUGCUUUUGUGGGGUGCUCGAGUGGCGAACGGGUGAGUAACACGUGAGUAACCUGCCCUUGACUUUGGGAUAACUUCAGGAAACUGGGGCUAAUACCGGAUAGGAGCUCCUGCUGCAUGGUGGGGGUUGGAAAGUUUCGGCGGUUGGGGAUGGACUCGCGGCUUAUCAGCUUGUUGGUGGGGUAGUGGCUUACCAAGGCUUUGACGGGUAGCCGGCCUGAGAGGGUGACCGGCCACAUUGGGACUGAGAUACGGCCCAAACUCCUACGGGAGGCAACAGUGGGGAAUAUUGCACAAUGGGCGGAAGCCUGAUGCAGCAACGCCGCGUGCGGGAUGACGGCCUUCGGGUUGUAAACCGCUUUCGCCUGUGACGAAGCGUGAGUGACGGUAAUGGGUAAAGAAGCACCGGCUAACUACGU
rnacentral:rRNA from 1 species